GCUCCCAUGGCGUAGUGGUCACUGCACUCGCCUUGCACGCGGGAGACCCGGGUUCGAUACCCGGCGGGGUCA
rfam:Asian citrus Psyllid, Diaphorina citri - Florida Strain, whole genome shotgun sequence.